UCGGGCCUACCAUGCAGUCGAGCGGUAACAGGAAGAAAGCUUGCUUUCUUUGCUGACGAGCGGCGGACGGGUGAGUAAUGCCUAGGGAACUGCCCAGUCGAGGGGGAUAACAGUUGGAAACGACUGCUAAUACCGCAUACGCCCUACGGGGGAAAAGAGGGGACCUUCGGGCCUUCUGCGAUUGGAUGUACCUAGGUGGGAUUAGCUAGUAGGUGAGGUAAUGGCUCACCUAGGCGACGAUCCCUAGCUGUUCUGAGAGGAUGAUCAGCCACACUGGGACUGAGACACGGCCCAGACUCCUACGGGAGGCAGCAGUGGGGAAUAUUGCACAAUGGGCGCAAGCCUGAUGCAGCCAUGCCGCGUGUGUGAAGAAGGCCUUCGGGUUGUAAAGCACUUUCAGCGAGGAGGAAAGGUUAAGUGUUAAUAGCACUUAGCUGUGACGUUACUCGCAGAAGAAGCACCGGCUAACUUCGUGCCAGCAGCCGCGGUAAUACGAGGGGUGCAAGCGUUAAUCGGAAUUACUGGGCGUAAAGCGUACGCAGGCGGUUUGUUAAGCGAGAUGUGAAAGCCCCGGGCUCAACCUGGGAACUGCAUUUCGAACUGGCAAACUAGAGUCUUGUAUAGGGGGGUAGACUUUCAG
rnacentral:rRNA from 1 species